CUUUCGUUUAAUAUUUACUUUAUAGAAAUGGUUUAGCGUCGUCAGAAAAAGUCCGUUAGCAUCUCAAAGGUAAGGCUAACUACAAGAGGUAACGAUAGACAUGAGCUCUUAUUUAUUAAGCUUGGGCUUUUAAUGUCAUCUUGUGUGUAGAUGAGCUCUCUCUCUCUCUCUCUCUCUCUCCAUAUAGAUCAAUGGAUGAAUGGAAGUAACCAAAUUAAUUUAACCCUAAAAGUAUCCACUGUUUAAUCCUAAAAUGUGCACUAACGUAACCUAUAACGUUACAUCACUUACAUAGAGCGUGAAAAUGGACUGAAACCUUCAGGUUUUGAUCUUUCAUGGUAAACACAUAAAUACAAACUUGUUCUGUGAUUUCAGAAGUGCCAGAAAAAAACCUCUAUGACGCAGGAGAAGUUCCUGAUUUUAAUUUCUGAAGGGAGCUGCUGACAGAGAGGAUGAAAACAUACACAUUUUGAUGUCCACGCUGUAGGAGCAUUACUAAAUAAGUUCUUCCAUGCUGAUGGCUGUGCUCUAGUCAUAUCUCCUGUCGAAGAACAUUUUUAGACAUUAUGAACCAUGAAUAAGUUUAGCUCCAACCCCAGUUAAGCGGACCUGAGCAGCUGAUCAAGGAUCAGCAGAAACUCUGCAGAACGGUGGUCCUCCAGCCCAGGACUGGACACCAGUGUUUGUGUCUGUCUCAGAAGCUGAAGAAAAAAGGUCACACCUUAUAGGAAAUAAACGCCUCCUAAGUGUACGGAAAUACCUGGCUGAGGAGAUCAGUG